rnacentral:rRNA from 1 species
GACGAACGCUGGCGGCGUGCUUAACACAUGCAAGUCGAACGGAAAGGCCCUGCUUUUGUGGGGUGCUCGAGUGGCGAACGGGUGAGUAACACGUGAGUAACCUGCCCUUGACUGUGGGAUAAAUUAAGGAAACUGGGGCUAAUACCGGAUAGGAGCUCCUGAUGCAUGGUGGGGGUUGGAAAGUUUCGGCGGUUGGGGAUGGACUCGCGGCGGAUCAGCUUGUUGGUGGGGUAGUGGCUUACCAAGGCUUUGACGGGUAGCCGGCCUGAGAGGGUGACCGGCCACAUUGGGACUGAGAUACGACCCAGACUCCUACGGGAGGCAGCAGUGGGGAAUAUUGCACAAUGGGCGGAAGCCUGAUGCAGCAACGCCGCGUGCGGGAUGACGGCCUUCGGGUUGUAAACCGCUUUCGCCUGUGACGAAGCGUGAGUGACGGUAAUGGGUAAAUAAGCACCGGCUAACUACGUG